CGCACAUUGCGCCCUUUGGCAUUCCGAAGGGCAUGCCUGUUCGAGCGUCAUUACACCAAUCAAGCCUGGCUUGGUAUUGGGCGACGGGGGCCUUACGACCCCCGCGCCUUAAUGACCACGGCGGGACGGACCGUAUCUCAGCGUUGUGGUAAAAAGCCGCUGGCGAGACGGGCUCGGCCGUGCCGUUAAACAACCCCCUCUCAAGGUUGACCUCGGAUCAGGUAGGGAUACCCGCUGAACUUAA
rnacentral:misc_RNA from 1 species